CUUUCAUCGUGGAUUUGGUCACAGAAACAAGAAAGCAUCCUGCUUGGCACACAGCAGGCACUCGGUCAUGACUGACUGAAUGAGUGGGCGAACACCUCCCUUGAAGACUGACGAUGAAUCAGAACAACUGUUUAAUCAACAAAAGGCAACAGUAUAGUACAAAACAAUUGGAUAGAGGAUUAUUCAAUGACUCGGAUUACAUUCACUUUCUCUCACUGUCCUUGGACACACACUGGCAAUGUGGUAUAGGAAGGCAACCUAGAAGAGGCUGGACCGGCUGGGAAAGAAGCCACCUAAAACAAAACACAUGUCAGCAGGAAUUCUCUGUAGGAGAAUACCAACCAUCCAUCCACUGGACACUUCACACAUGAAGAAAUGUCACACAGCAGGUAAGCUAUAGAUGGGAGAAGAAAAAUUACAGCAUUUACCUCACACAAGGACUAACUAAAAAAAUCCACUUCACUUAGCAGGAUUUGAGUUCCUAAAAUUGAAUUCCCAUCCAAGACAAUGGAG
rnacentral:lncRNA from 1 species